UUUUUUGACCCACUAUCAUCCUUGAACGCUCGACUCCGUGCACUCCUCCCCUGAUGGCGCGACGAUCUGCUGACCUCUGUCGCCUGCGUCACUUCGACCCCCUCCACAAAGCCUCCUUCCCUUCAUUCCUCCGAUCUCAGUGCCAUCUGCACCUCCGCACCAAAGCCGCUCGCCGCCGCCCCGAUGACGACCCCGACGAUCGGCACAGGCGGAACGACGCCGGAGGCGGUGGCGAACCUUGGGACCGCAGCUUCCGCCUCGACAAGGGCCGCGGCCAGUACCUCCUCACCAACCCCCGCGUCCUCGACACCAUCGCCCGAGUCGCCGGACUCCGCCCCUCCGACACCGUUCUCGAGAUUGGCCCCGGCACCGGUAAUCUCACCGCCCGGCUCCUCCAGUCUGCCCGCAGAGUCGUCGCUGUAGAGAUCGAUCCACGCAUGGUCGAUUCUGUCCUCGCUCGCGCGUCUCGCCUCGGCGUCGACGAUCGACUUACGGUAAUCACUGGCGACGCGCUGAAGACGGAGUUCCCAGAGUUCGACAUCUGCGUCGCUAACAUACCUUACGGGAUCUCGUCACCUCUUAUCGCGAAGCUUCUCUUCAGUACGAGCAGGCCAUCCAGCUUCAGGAGCGCGGUGCUCUUGCUCCAAAAGGAGUUCGCCCGGCGGCUCCUGGCCGUGCCAGGUGACUCGGAGUUCAACCGGUUGGCUGCAAACGUGAGCCUGGUGGCCACAGUGGAGCUGCUGAUGGACGUGAGCAAGAAGGACUUCGUGCCUUGCCCAAAGGUGGACUCUACGCUGGUGCGUCUCCGGCCCAGGACUGAUGUUCCUGAGGUUGAUUUGGAUGAAUGGUUGGCUUUCUCCCGCACAUGCUUCAGCAACAAGAACAAGACCCUGGGUGCCAUCUUUAAGCAGAAGAAGAGGAUUGCCGAAUUACUUGGGAGGUCCAAGUCUGAAGGAAGAUCUAUCAAAGUUUUCAUGGAAGAGGAGCAGAAUGAUAAUGGAGCCGAGGAGAAUGAUGAUGACAAUCGUGACGAUGAUGAUCUUUUGGAGCAGAAUGCAUCUGAAGUAAGUUCUUUUAAGGAGAAGGCUGUUGGGAUAUUGAAGUCUGGGGGCUUUGAAGGGAAGAGACCUUCCAAAUUAUCCAACGAAGAAUUAUUGCAUCUGCUACAGCUUUUUAAUCAAAAUGGUGUUCAGUUUCGAUAGCUCAAGUUGAACUUAUUUGGUCCCAUUGUGUUUGAUUGCAAGCAAAAGCAAUUCCCAGAGCAGCUGUCUGCUCUAUUUGUGGAUAGAUCUUGUGAUAUAACCAACAUUAUAAGCUCCAGACUACCUGAUUACUUGUACUCACAUGGGUUACAAAGAGUCAACAGAAAGGUUUUGUGAGCUCUGACUUAUGCCACUGAUAUGAUUCAAGGAGUUGCUUGUUGCUGGGAAAAUGAAAUGAAUAUUCUCCAAUUUAUUGGAAGUCUUUCUUCCGAGGAUUCAGCAAAGCUCAAUGUGAAGUACUCUGUUUCUCUUCUAUCCACAACCCUAGGUGAAGGCAAUCUUUUAACUGCAGAUACCAUCAUGUUAUAUGUCCAGAACAACUGACAAGCCUACUGCCUUUUCUGUUAUGCUAGAAGCUGAUGCAGAACUUUUGACAUUUGAUGUCUCUCUAAUAUGCGAUCCUAAGCUUGUUGUUGCUGAAGUACCAAUAUUUAGAUCAUCGCUCAGUUGACUGCAGAGAUGUACGUAUCUAUUUCACUUUCCAUGAUCAAAUUGCAAACGGAUGUUGGAGUAUGACUCAUCAAUUAAGAUGAACCUAUCCAGUCUUUUCCGCAAUGGCCUGUUGUGCAUUAACAUUGGGUUUGACUUGGUAUCGGAAGUCCAUCCUUUCUCUUCAAGUCUCAGCUCACUCCAAGCAUCAAGCCAACCAUCGUGCAGAGGGAAAGGGCCAUCUAACUAUUAAUCUGAGUUCAUAUCACCACCAAAUAUAACAUUGGGUGCAUUUGAUAGAAGAUUAAGAGCCAUUUUAGCCUGUGUUAGACCCUCCAUACUGUGCAUAAUUGGUGGUAUUGGGCUCUCCAGAUGGCUAGUUGCAAUUUGCAACUGUUAGAUUCUGACCCAUGCCAAAUCAAUCUCAGCUGCUCAAAGCUCUCUUCCCAUGGAGGAGUUUGGAAAGCGACCACAGUAGAACCUUUUGCCAGGUGACUUGGUCAACUACAAGAGGUUAACAAUUUUUAGUUUUAGCAUUAGCGUUAGCAAUAACGUUAGCACAUUGUCAAUCAAACAUAAUUAGUUUGCUAUUAAGCUCACAGUUCAACUUUACCCUACAUAUUUUAUUUUAUGCCAGACUGU